ensembl:lncRNA
GAAAUGAGAGAAGAGCAGAAGAGAUGUUAUAUACUGUUAUACACUCCAAUCUUGCUCUCUACUAAUGGCACAGAAACAGAAGAGCAGUGUUAGGAACCUAUGCUGUACCAGAACCCAUAAAACUUCGGCAUCAGCAUUCCUGGGCUGGUGGUGGUUCUGUCCACUGGUUCUCUCUGCUGUUAAAUCUGAGGAAAUGAUUUAGAAACAGAAACGUGUCCCACGUUCUGCUGGGACAGACCUUAUGCUGUGUUGCCAUUACAAACCUACAUCUUCAAAGAGAUUUCAGUCUGUUCCUCUCUAUGAGAACGCACAUCAUCUCAGCCUGGAGUCUUGAUUCACCCUUCUCUGGCCUGGAGUGACAUGUAGGCCCAUCAGAGCCCAUCGGCCUCCUGGUGACCUCAUUCCUGCUCCCCCUGAUUGCAAAUUCUCCUUCAGGGCCACAAACAACUCCGUGAUCCCUCAAGACCUGCCAGCUCCUGCCACCGCCCCUAUGGAUCAGUCCCCAGCAGACCAGGGCCUGCUGCAUGUCAGCUCACAGCCUUCACCUGGGGAGGAGGAGGCCCUCUCUAAGAACCGCACUGCCUGGAGCACAGUCCUCAGCACAUCUCUGCCCAGCAGCAGCUCAAGGCCAUGGAGCUGCUCUCCUGCCGCCAGAGCCUUCCGCUGACUUUUCUCCCACUGAGUUUAUCGAGCUCAGAGGUUUCUCUCCAAAGCCUCAGGCUUUCCUACAGGCAUCUGCACGAAAAUACCAAGCUCUUUUCAGAGAAAACAAGUUUCCAAAUCAGCUUUUUCUUUUACGUGCUUUUUGUGGAAGGACUUUCCUAAGCACGGAGGAUUUCUCCUUAUGCAAUUCAGAGAGAUUCACUAGGCCAGCUGAAAACCUAGAGCAGUGCUAGGAAGAUAAACUAUGCCUAGAGAUAUCCAUAUGCAUUUAUUUCUGAAAACUUGCUAUCUAGAUGGCUACACAACACUUUGCCAAAACAUUCGGUUGGGUGGCCUUGUUGGGAAAGAGGAUGUAAUGGUCAAAUUCUCCUCCACAUAGAUUCACAAAAUCAUUAGAAUCAGAAGGGACCUUUAAAGGCCACCCAGUCCAACUCCCCUGCAAUGAACAGAGACACCCACAGCUCCAUCAGGUGCUCAGAGCCCCGUCCAGCCUGACCUUGGCUGUCACCAGGGAUGGGGCACCCACCACCUCUAUAAGUAACCUGUGCCAGUGCUUCUCUACCCUUACUGUAAAAAGAAACAUCUUAGAUCCACAGUCUAAAUCUCCCUUCUUUUAGUUUGAACAAAGGAUGCAGAAGAACUGGAACAGUGAGACAAGGUAGCAGAAGAGUCUAGCAGGAACCAAAGGGAAUAGGACCCUAAAGAAAAAUGACAGAAUACAAAAGUUGAGGAUUUUUUGAAGGAGAAAAGAAGAGAAAAAGAAAACAAGAUGAAAAUGAGUUACACUUCCUGGAGUGAAGGUGAGAGGUAAGGAGAGGAUGGGGCCAUGGUGCUCUCAGGGCUGUGGUGAGAUACAUUCCCAUGACCCAUACAUCUCUGUGAAAAGGGGGAGAGCCCUCAAGCACUUCUAUUUCUCCAGUUGAACCUCAGGAGAGCAUGGUUUACAACCACUAAAAGGGAAUGAGAAGAAAGCUGCAGCCUUCCAGGAAGCUGGUAGGAGCUCAGCUAUGCACGAUCCCUGGGGCUCUGCUCUGGUGUUAUCUAUUUGCUUGAGGCCAACAUCAUCUUCCUUCAGAGCUUUUCCACAGAGCUUAAAGCAAAGGCACCAG